ensembl:snRNA U1 U1 spliceosomal RNA
AUAAUUACCUGACAGGGGAGAUAUCAUGAUCAUAAAGGUAGUUUUCCCAGGGCAAGGCUUAUCCAUUGCACUCCAGAUGUGCUGACCCCUGUGAUUACCCCAAAUGUGAGAAAUUCGACUGUAUAAUUUGUGGUAGUGGGGGACUGAGUUCACGUCCUCACC